CACCAGACUCCUACGGGAGGCAGCAGUGGGGGAUAUUGCACAAUGGGGGGAACCCUGAUGCAGCGACGCCGCGUGGGUGAAGGAGCGUUUCGGCGCGUAAAGCCCUAUCGGCAGGGAAGAAGGAGGACGGUACCUGACUAAGAAGCCCCGGCUAACUACGUGCCAGCAGCCGCGGUAAUACGUAGGGGGCAAGCGUUAUCCGGAUUUACUGGGUGUAAAGGGGGCGCAGACGGCAGCGCAAGCCAGGAGUGAAAGCCCGGGGCCCAACCCUGGGACUGCAUUGGAAACUGUAUUGCUUGAGUACCGGAGAGGCAGGCGGAAUUCCUAGUGUAGCGGUGAAAUGCGUAGAUAUUAGGAGGAACACCAGUGGCGAAGGCGGCCUGCUGGACGGUAACUGACGCUGAGGCUCGAAAGCGUGGGGAGCAAACAGGAUUAGAUACCCGUGUA
rnacentral:rRNA from 1 species